GUCCGUCCGGGCGCCCCCCUAUCCCCUCCGUGCGCCGAAGCAAGGGACGCCCCCAACCCCAAUCCUGUUCGCGCGCGGCUCCACCGUCCCGGUUCCCCUUUGUGGCCGGCACCGCGGAGCAUGUGCUUCCUCCUGCUCGCCGUUGCUGCCCGCCAUCGUCAGCUCCUCCGUUUGCCCGAACAACAGCAACUACGAGGCCGGCGCCUCCGUCCGCCCCUAUAACAGCAGCUGCGCGGCCGACACCUCCAUUUGCCCCCCAACAACAGCAGGUGCGUCGAUGGCGUCUCCAAGGAACUCGCCUCCUUAUGCAACUCCCUGGGCGCCGAGGUAGAGGCAGGGAUCUCCUGCUCAGACAUCACGGAGUGGAAGGCUUAACAUAAUAGAUUAUCUGAUGGGGAUGAAGCUAAAUCUUCUGCUGGAAAGGACUUCCCUGCUCUGAGUAUGUCAGAGAUUCAGAAUGCUCGCUGUAUCAUGGAUUUACUGCCAGAGAUGUUGAAUGCUUUAGACCGUGGAAACAGAGAGCUGGCCAAGAUAUUUGAGGCCAAGAAGUUGAAGAUAGUUCCUAGUUGCCUUGCCAUACGCUGUGUUUGUCAUCCUCACUGGCGAACUGAUCAUAAUAUCAUCCCACCAGCGUCCGUCAAUAUGAUCGCGGGUUCCUCUCUUCAAUUGGCUCUGUCUUGGCGAGAAGAUUUGAUGGCAGCUUACUGAUUUGACGACAAACAGCCUACUUCAGAGCUCUAUGCAUAUGGACUCAUGUAGCUCAGAAGAAAAUUUGUUCAUUUUGGAACUUCCCUGCAGCUUCCACAGGUAUUCAUUUAACCUCCCAUGACAAAUAUGACGAAUUGAAACAUUCUCAUUGUGCUGUAUGGAGGUAUCCAGCUACACCUGGAGACACUAGGAUCAGGGAAAACUACGCUACAAUCAUCCUUAAAUCUUCCCACCAAAGUGGUAAAAUGGUCGAACUCGUUGGUGUUUUUUCUUUGAGAUGGAAAUUACUGCAUUUUAUUAUUCAGAAAUUUUGGCACACUCCUAGAGCACCAAGCCAAGGGUGGCAGACCUGAUCAUGGGCAGCCCGGCCCGAAAAAUGGGCCAGGUUGGGCUCCAUUUCGCUGCCUGAAAGUCCAUUCUAGCCGGGCUCAGGCUUUAGUUCUGCGGCACUUCGGGCCGGGCUUACACGUGCGCGUUCUGAAAACAACAUUUGAGCUGGGCUUUUGGGCUUGUUUUCAGGCCAGCUUGGGCUUGAGGAAAGGGGCAACUUUGGGCUUCGGUGCUGGCUCGGGCUUGUAGUUCGAGGUUCAGGCUUUUUUAAGCCCAACUCAAAACCCGGCCCGACAUAUGAUCAGGUUUACGCGGGGUACAUGUAACCAUAUUUUACAAAUUUUAUUAUUUCUACGACCUUCCUUAGCUAAAAUAUGUGCUAUGAGGGUAGCACACUGAGCGUGUGGUUACCGAAGUGAAAGUCCCAAGCAGGGUUGUAGAGAACCAUGUCGAGUUUGACGAGAGUUGGAUUUUCACGCUCGUUGCUCCAUGUAAACUUCCUAUUCUGAAGGUGGAUUUCCUUCAGAGAGCAAUUAGAGAGAGAGUGCUCCCUAAGAGAUCCACUAUCCGAAGAUUUAGGUUGAGGUUGUUUCCUACCGGCCUCUUGGUAAAUGAGGUUAAAGUCACCCAUAACCAGCCAUAUACUGUCACUUGUUAACCUAUUAUUAUACCUUUUCUCU